AGAGUUUGAUCCUGGCUCAGGAUGAACGCUGGCGGCGUGCUUAACACAUGCAAGUCGAACGAAGCACCUUGAUUUGAUUCUUCGGAUGAAGAUCCUGGUGACUGAGUGGCGGACGGGUGAGUAACGCGUGGGUAACCUGCCUCAUACAGGGGGAUAACAGUUAGAAAUGACUGCUAAUACCGCAUAAGACCACAGCACCGCAUGGUGCAGGGGUAAAAACUCCGGUGGUAUGAGAUGGACCCGCGUCUGAUUAGGUAGUUGGUGGGGUAACGGCCUACCAAGCCGACGAUCAGUAGCCGACCUGAGAGGGUGACCGGCCACAUUGGGACUGAGACACGGCCCAAACUCCUACGGGAGGCAGCAGUGGGGAAUAUUGCACAAUGGGGGAAACCCUGAUGCAGCGACGCCGCGUGAGCGAUGAAGUAUUUCGGUAUGUAAAGCUCUAUCAGCAGGGAAGAAAAUGACGGUACCUGACUAAGAAGCACCGGCUAAAUACGUGCCAGCAGCCGCGGUAAUACGUAUGGUGCAAGCGUUAUCCGGAUUUACUGGGUGUAAAGGGAGCGUAGACGGAGUGGCAAGUCUGAUGUGAAAACCCGGGGCUCAACCCCGGGACUGCAUUGGAAACUGUCAAUCUAGAGUACCGGAGAGGUAAGCGGAAUUCCUAGUGUAGCGGUGAAAUGCGUAGAUAUUAGGAGGAACACCAGUGGCGAAGGCGGCUUACUGGACGGUAACUGACGUUGAGGCUCGAAAGCGUGGGGAGCAAACAGGAUUAGAUACCCUGGUAGUCCACGCCGUAAACGAUG
rnacentral:rRNA from 1 species